rnacentral:lncRNA from 1 species
AAUGGAGUGUAGACCGUUGGUCAACGUCACAAAGAGGAAACGAAAGAGGAUGAAACAUAGCGCUUUGUGUAAUGAAUUUAAUUGAGUUUUCCGCUGCACACUUUGAUGACACUUGUCUUUUUACAUUUUUUUAAUUUCAUUUUCACUGUUGUGACUUUACCGUUGAGGAUAUAAACUCAACAGUCUGAAUAAACGAGCUAACACUUGCUGCUCCAAGUUUCUCCCAAUCUCAAAUUCUCUCUUCUUCCUCAGUGUUCAUCGUCGAUUUGCUCGUAAUCAAAUAUGGUAUCAGGCGGGUUCCGACGAUCUAACCUUUCAGGAUGAAGCGCAACCAUAACGAGGAGGAUGAUGAUGAACCGCCUCAUCAUCAACAUACUCCAGGUUUUACUUUUGGAUCUAUCGGUGCGAGUCAAAAUAAUGAAUCAUCAUUGAAUACUGUAGUUUUAACUUUCGGAAAUCCUUAU